rnacentral:rRNA from 2 species
GAUGAACGCUAGCUACAGGCUUAACACAUGCAAGUCGAGGGGCAGCAUGGAAGAAGCUUGCUUCUUCUGAUGGCGACCGGCGCACGGGUGCGUAACGCGUAUCAAACCUGCCUCAUACUCGGGGAUAGCCUUGCGAAAGUAAGAUUAAUACCCGAUGUUGUUAUGUUACCGCAUGGUGAUAUAACCAAAGAUUUAUCGGUAUGAGAUGGUGAUGCGUCCGAUUAGGUAGUAGGCGGGGUAACGGCCCACCUAGCCUUCGAUCGGUAGGGGUUCUGAGAGGAAGGUCCCCCACACUGGAACUGAGACACGGUCCAGACUCCUACGGGAGGCAGCAGUGAGGAAUAUUGGUCAAUGGACGCAAGUCUGAACCAGCCAAGUAGCGUGCAGGAUGACGGCCCUCCGGGUUGUAAACUGCUUUUAGUUGGGAAUAAAAAAGAGGACGUGUCCUCUAUUGUAUGACCUCAGAAAAAGACCG